rnacentral:rRNA from 1 species
CUGAAACCGUAUGCCUACAAUCAGUCGGAGGGCAUCUGGCAAGCCUAUGGGCUUGCGAGGCCUGACGGCGUGCCUUUUGGAGAAUGAGCCGGCGAGUUAAUCUUUGUGGCGAGCCUAAGGGAGUGACACCCGGAGGCGUAGCGAAAGCGAGUCUUAAUAGGGCGUAUAGUCGCAGGGAUUAGACACGAAACCUGGUGAGCUACCCAUGGCCAGGGUGAAGCGGGAUUAAUACCCCGUGGAGGCCCGAACCCACCAAUGUUGCAAAAUUGGGGGAUGAGCUGUGGGUAGGGGUGAUAUGCCAAACGAACCAGGAGAUAGCUUGUUCUCCCCGAAAUAGCUUUAGGGCUAGCGUCGCGUGUUCAGUAUCGGAGGUAGAGCACUGGAGUGGCUAGGGGGCUAAUAGCUUACCAAACCACACCAAACUCCGAAUGCCGAUACUCUAGAGCGCGGCAGUUGGGUCACGGGGGAUGAGCUCCGUGACCGAGAGGGAAACAACCCAGACCAUCGGCUAAGGUCCCUAAGUCUGAGCUAAGUGGUAAACGAUGUGGGACUACUAAGACAGCCAGGAGGUUGGCUUAGAAGCAGCCAUCCUUGAAAGAGUGCGUAACAGCUCACUGGUCAAGUGGUCCUGCGCGGAUAAUGUAACGGGGCUAAGCUCAGCACCGAAGCCAUGGGUUUAUUCCGUCAUUGGCGUGAAUAAGCAGUAGGGGAGCGUUCUGUUUGCGCUGAAGGUCGACCGUGAGGACGGCUGGAGCGAGCAGAAGUGAGAAUGCCGGCAUGAGUAGCGUAAAACAUGUGAGAAUCAUGUUCGCCGUAAGUCUAAGGUUUCCGACGCAAGGGUGUUCCACGUCGGGUUAGUCGGCCCUUAGCCGAGGCCGAGAGGCGUAGGCGAUGGAUAUCCGGUUAAUAUUCCGGAACCACCUAAGAUGAGUGAAGAGGGGACGCAGAACGGUAAGCCAGCCGGCCUAUUGGACAUGGUCGGUGCUAAACGCGUAGGCGUUGAGAUCCGUAGGGAAAUCCGCGGGUUGAGCUGAGGCGUGAUGGCGUGGCCUAGAGCCUGAAGUGGCUGAGCCGAGCUGCCAAGAAAAGCCUCGUAGCGUUGAAUCCUAGGUGACCGUACCACAAACCGACACUGGUAGACGAGUAGAGAAUACUAAGGCGAACGGGAGAACCUUCGUUAAGGAACUAGGCAAAAUGGCCCCGUAACUUCGGGAGAAGGGGCGCCCUCUAACGUGACGUGCAUACGCAUAGAGCGUAGGGGGGCCGCAGUGAAAUGGCUCUGGUGACUGUUUAACAAAAACACAGGUCCCUGCUAAAGCGUAAGCUGAUGUAUAGGGGCUGACGCCUGCCCAGUGCCGGAAGGUUAAAGUGAGGGGUUAGCUUCCUUCGGGAAGCGAAGCUCUGAGCUGAAGCCCCGGUGAACGGCGGCCGUAACUAUAACGGUCCUAAGGUAGCGAAAUUCCUUGUCGGGUAAGUUCCGACCUG